UCUAGUUCAAAAGUCUUAAUGCUCAAUAAAUCAGUUCCUUUCAUUAAAGUACAUAAUACAUUCCAAAUUAGGCCCAUUUUUAACAUUUUGUCAAAUUUUGAUGAUUUUGGGCAAUUUUUAGACCUAAAAGCUUUAAGAAAAAUUUGGCCGCCACCUACGAUCCAAAAUGUUUUGUAACCAAAAGAUUCCCAAUGCGAUAUAGAAUUCAUCAAAAUAAAAACUUUUUGGAUCGUGGAUGGC
rnacentral:lncRNA from 1 species